rnacentral:rRNA from 1 species
CCACGCUGUAAACGAUGUCGACUUGGAGGUUGUGCCCUNGAGGCGUGGCUUCCGGAGCUAACGCGUUAAGUCGACCGCCUGGGGAGUACGGCCGCAAGGUUAAAACUCAAAUGAAUUGACGGGGGCCCGCACAAGCGGUGGAGCAUGUGGUUUAAUUCGAUGCAACGCGAAGAACCUUACCUACUCUUGACAUCCACGGAACUUGCCAGAGAUGGCUUGGUGCCUUCGGGAACCGUGAGACAGGUGCUGCAUGGCUGUCGUCAGCUCGUGUUGUGAAAUGUUGGGUUAAGUCCCGCAACGAGCGCAACCCUUAUCCUUUGUUGCCAGCACUUCGGGUGGGAACUCAAAGGAGACUGCCGGUGAUAAACCGGAGGAAGGUGGGGAUGACGUCAAGUCAUCAUGGCCCUUACGAGUAGGGCUACACACGUGCUACAAUGGCGUAUACAAAGAGAAGCAAACUCGCGAGAGCCAGCGGACCUCAUAAAGUACGUCGUAGUCCGGAUUGGAGUCUGCAACUCGACUCCAUGAAGUCGGAAUCGCUAGUAAUCGUAGAUCAGAAUGCUACGGUGAAUACGUUCCCGGGCCUUGUACACACCGCCCGUCACACCAUGGGAGUGGGUUGCAAAAGAAGUAGGUAGCUUAACCUUCGGGAGGGCGCUUACCACUUUGUGAUUCAUGACUGGGGUG